rnacentral:rRNA from 1 species
UACGGGGGGGGCAAGCGUUGUUCGGAAUUACUGGGCGUAAAGGGCUCGUAGGCGGCCAACUAAGUCAGACGUGAAAUCCCUCGGCUUAACCGGGGAACUGCAUCUGAUACUGGAUGGCUUGAGUUCGGGAGAGGGAUGCGGAAUUCCAGGUGUAGCGGUGAAAUUCGUAGAUAUUAGCUAGAACACCAGUGGCGAAGGCGGCCAACUGGUCCGGUACUGACGCUGAGGUGCGAAAGCGUGGGGAGCAAACAGG